rnacentral:rRNA from 1 species
GUCGGGAAUAUUGCACAAUGGGCGAAAGCCUGAUGCAGCAACGCCGCGUGCGCGAUGAAGGCCUUCGGGUCGUAAAGCGCUUUUCGGGAGGAUGAGGAAGGACAGUACUCCCGGAAUAAGUCACGGCUAACUACGUGCCAGCAGCCGCGGUAAAACGUAGGUGGCGAGCGUUAUCCGGAUUUACUGGGCGUAAAGCGCGUUCAGGCGGCCUAGCAAGUCGGGCAUGAAAUCUCUCGGCUCAACCGGGAGAGGCUGUCCGAUACUGCUGGGCUUGAGGGCAGUAGAGGAUGGUGGAAUUCCGGGUGUAGUGGUGAAAUGCGUAGAUAUCCGGAGGAACACCGGUGGCGAAAGCGGCCAUCUGGGCUGCACCUGACGCUGAAACGCGAAAGCUAGGGGAGCGAACGGGAUUAGAAACCCUAGUAGUCC